UCAAGAACGAAAGUGUGGGGCUCAAAGAAGAUUAGAUACCUUUGUAGUCUUGUACCCUAAACGAUACCCUCCAGCGAUCCGGCUGCGUACGAACGUGACGCGCCGGGCAGCUCUUCCGGGGAAACCAGAGUUCCGGCUCCGGGGGAAGUAUGGUUGCAAAGCUGAAACUUAAAGGAAUUGACGGAGGGGCACUACCAGGAGUGGAGCCUACGGCUUAAUUUGACUCAACACGGGAAAACUUACCCGGCCCGGACGUGUUAUCGGUUGAACAGACUGACGGCUCUUUUUAGAGUUUGUGGAUGGUGGUGCAUGGUCGCAGUUGGUUCGUGGAGUGACCUGUCUGGUUAAUUCCGAUAAACGGACGAGAUUCUUGCUUACUAAAUACGAAAUCUUUCUUAAUAAUGGAAAUGACUUCUUAGAAGGACCGUCGGCUUCGAAGCCGUACGAAAAGGAGCGAUUGCAGGUCUGUGAUGCCCUAAGAUGUCCGGGGCCGCACGUGCGCUACAGUAGAGCGGACAACGUGCUUCUUUGUUCCUUGGCCUGUCGGCCUAGGUAACCAGAGCAGUCUAA